AAAUUGAAGAGUUUGAUCAUGGCUCAGAUUGAACGCUGGCGGCAGGCCUAACACAUGCAAGUCGAACGGUAACAGGAAGCAGCUUGCUGCUUCGCUGACGAGUG
rnacentral:rRNA from 2 species